GUGAAUCAUCAAAUUUUUGAACGCAAAUUGCACUCUCUUCGGAGAGUAUGCCUGUGUGAGGGUCAGCCUAAAAAAAAUCGACGUAGUCGCUGUUUCGCGGUGACAGUCGUCGGAAAGUGGGUCAUCUUAAACCGUUGGGUUUUUUAAGCGGCUGAAAAUUUUCUUUACGAUUAUACGAAGGAUUCUAAGAUUUUACUUCGUACACACGUUU
rnacentral:misc_RNA from 1 species